ACUCCUACGGGAGGCAGCAGUGGGAAUAUUGCACAAUGGGCGAAAGCCUGAUGCAGCAACGCCGCGUGCGGGAAGAAGGCCCUAGGGUUGUAAACCGCUUUCAGCAGGGAAGAAAAUGACGGUACCUGCAGAAGAAGGUGCGGCCAACUACGUGCCAGCAGCCGCGGUGACACGUAGGCACCAAGCGUUGUCCGGAUUUAUUGGGCGUAAAGAGCUCGUAGGCGGUUCAGUAAGUCGGGUGUGAAAACUCUGGGCUCAACCCAGAGACGCCACCCGAUACUGCUGUGACUUGAGUACGGUAGGGGAGCGGGGAAUUCCUGGUGUAGCGGUGAAAUGCGCAGAUAUCAGGAGGAACACCAGUGGCGAAGGCGCCGCUCUGGGCCGUAACUGACGCUGAGGAGCGAAAGCGUGGGUAGCAAACAGGAUUAGAUACCCUGGUAGGUC
rnacentral:rRNA from 1 species